AUAGGAACUAAAACCUGCCGCUCUGAAGGUGCCAGUGUUGGUGAGGGAAUUUAUCAAUGUGGAAUGCUCAUCACCUCAUAGGGAAGAUCUGAACCAAGUGAAUGCAAGGAUUUUUUGGCAAUGUCUAGCUCAAUCUCACCUUCGAGAAAAUGUAAUAUUUUUCCUCCGGAGUUAGUCUAAACUAUCCAGGUUGUAUGCUACUACUGAGAUCCCAUCAAGGAUGAUCUGAAGCACUCAAAAGAAGCGAAGGGCAGAAGAAGCUUCGUUUCUCAUUGAUGUUAUGUGUGAUCAACUAAAAUUUGGCCAUCUCGUCCAACUUUGUAGAACUAUGUUGUUGUGCACCUGUGCACUUGUUGGGUCUUUUUGCUGUGCACUUGACUUGUAGCAUUAUUUUGCUGUGCACUUGUUGG